rnacentral:rRNA from 1 species
UACGAAGGGGGCUAGCGUUGCUCGGAAUCACUGGGCGUAAAGGGUGCGUAGGCGGGUCUUUAAGUCAGGGGUGAAAUCCUGGAGCUCAACUCCAGAACUGCCUUUGAUACUGAAGAUCUUGAGUUCGGGAGAGGUGAGUGGAACUGCGAGUGUAGAGGUGAAAUUCGUAGAUAUUCGCAAGAACACCAGUGGCGAAGGCGGCUCACUGGCCCGGUACUGACGCUGAGGUGCGAAAGCGUGGGUAGCGAACGA